rnacentral:tRNA from 1 species
GGAGAGGUACUCAAGUGGUUGAAGAGGCGGGUUUGCUAAACCUGUAGGUCGGCGUAAGUCGGCGCGGGGGUUCGAAUCCCCCCCUCUCCG